UCUUUUUAAAAAAUCUUUCUUUUUUAUAGAAUUUUAUCUAUUCGCAUUCAUUUGUUUAAAACUGUUUAGAAAAAAAGAUUUAACGCGAGUUAUUAAUUUUGUCCAGCUAGAUUCGUGAUUGGCCACACUGUGCACUGGUGGGAAAAAUAAGCAACUACAUAUACACAUACAAAAUCAGAAGCCAUAAGAAUACAUGUGUUUUUCAUUCAGCAUUCAAGUUUUUCCCCAAAAACUUAGUCACAAUCAGAGAAAAGGAGAAAUAAAAGAGAUCUAUUUGAUGGAUCUAUUCUAUCAAGUGCAGAAUAAUCUUCUACUGGUUGUCGUCAAAGCACAGAAGGUACUGCAAAGGGCUUGAGGUUCGUCAACAUUUUCAGCAUUUUCCAUGAUAAGCAAUCACUCUUGUAUGAAAUAUAACAAACAUGAUUAAAUUUAAGCUCCAUUAACUUUAUAAUGUUGACAACCCGCCAAUUUUUCGUUCAUAUGACAAAUUUGAAGAACAAAACGCAAAGAAAAAUUAACAGAUUUAGGCUUAACUACAUACAACACUUUUUGAAAAAGUACAAAAGUGAAAAUAUUUUUUUUUUCUGGCUAGAGCAAUUUUGUUGUGAUAAAGAGUAUACUAAUUUUAAGGCCAAAAAAUAAGCUUCCUGCAUCAUUUGUUUUAAUUUCCCACUCCGAAAAACUGUUCAAAAUUGUGUUUGAAAAUUUUCACUUUUGUACUUUUUCACUUUUUGAGCCAAUGUAGUUAAGGCUUUACACUUAAACUAAACUUAUUGCAAG